UGGGGAAUCUUCCGCAAUGGACGAAAGUCUGACGGAGCAACGCCGCGUGAGUGAUGAAGGAUUUCGGUCUGUAAAGCUCUGUUGUUUAUGACGAACGUGCAGUGUGUGAACAAUGCAUUGCAAUGACGGUAGUAAACGAGGAAGCCACGGCUAACUACGUGCCAGCAGCCGCGGUAAUACGUAGGUGGCGAGCGUUGUCCGGAAUUAUUGGGCGUAAAGAGCAUGUAGGCGGCUUAAUAAGUCGAGCGUGAAAAUGCGGGGCUCAACCCCGUAUGGCGCUGGAAACUGUUAGGCUUGAGUGCAGGAGAGGAAAGGGGAAUUCCCAGUGUGCGGUGAAAUGCGUAGAUAUUGGGAGGAACACCAGUGGCGAAGGCGCCUUUCUGGACUGUGUCUGACGCUGAGAUGCGAAAGCCAGGGUAGCGAACGGG
rnacentral:rRNA from 1 species